GAUGAACGCUAGCGGCAGGCUUAACACAUGCAAGUCGAGGGGCAGCGGGAUGUAGCAAUACAUUGCCGGCGACCGGCGCAAGGGUGCGUAACGCGUGAGCAACAUGCCCGUCACAGGAGGAUAAACCAUGGAAACGUGGCCUAAUACUCCAUAGUAUGUAAUUGAGGCAUCUUAAUUACAUUAAAGCUUCGGUGGUGACGGAUUGGCUCGCGUGACAUUAGCUAGAUGGAGAGGUAACGGCUCACCAUGGCGACGAUCAGUAGCCGGUCUGAGAGGGUGACCGGCACAUUGGGACUGAGACACGGCCCAAACUCCUACGGGAGGCAGCAGUGGGGAAUAUUGCACAAUGGGGGAAACCCUGAUGCAGCAACGCCGCGUGAGUGAAGAAGUAUUUCGGUAUGUAAAGCUCUAUCAGCAGGGAAGAAAAUGACGGUACCUGACUAAGAAGCCCCCGG
rnacentral:rRNA from 1 species